rnacentral:tRNA from 1 species
GUAUAUAUAGCCCAGUGGUAGAGCACGUGCUUAGCAUCCAUGAGGUCCUGGGUUCAGUCCCCAGUAUCGCCA